GCCCUGAUAGUAUAAAUAUUACUCUGGUCUUGUAAACCAAAAAUGAGGAACUCAUCCUCUCAGGACA
rnacentral:tRNA from 1 species